rnacentral:rRNA from 1 species
GACGUAGGGCGCGAGCGUUGUCCGGAAUUAUUGGGCGUAAAGAGCUCGUAGGCGGUUUGUCGCGUCUGCUGUGAAAACCUCAGGCUCAACCUGGGGCUUGCAGUGGGUACGGGCAGACUAGAGUGCGGUAGGGGUGACUGGAAUUCCUGGUGUAGCGGUGGAAUGCGCAGAUAUCAGGAGGAACACCGAUGGCGAAGGCAGGUCACUGGGCCGCAACUGACGCUGAGGAGCGAAAGCAUGGGGAGCGAACAGG